CCUACGGGAGGCUGCAGUGGGGAAUAUUGGACAAUGGGGGCAACCCUGAUCCAGCCAUGCCGCGUGUGUGAAGAAGGCCCUCGGGUUGUAAAGCACUUUCAGUGAGGAAGAACGCCUGGUGGUUAAUACCCAUCAGGAAAGACAUCACUCACAGAAGAAGCACCGGCUAACUCCGUGCCAGCAGCCGCGGUAAUACGGAGGGUGCGAGCGUUAAUCGGAAUUACUGGGCGUAAAGCGCGCGUAGGUGGCUUGAUAAGCCGGUUGUGAAAGCCCCGGGCUCAACCUGGGAACGGCAUCCGGAACUGGCUAGCUAGAGUGCAGAAGAGGAAGGUAGAAUUCCCGGUGUAGCGGUGAAAUGCGUAGAGAUCGGGAGGAAUACCAGUGGCGAAGGCGGCGGUCUGGACUGACACUGACACUGAUGUGCGAAAGCGUGGGUAGCAAACAGGAUUAGAUACCCUUGUAGUC
rnacentral:rRNA from 1 species